rnacentral:rRNA from 1 species
UACGAAGGGGGCUAGCGUUGCUCGGAAUCACUGGGCGUAAAGGGUGCGUAGGCGGGUCUUUAAGUCAGGGGUGAAAUCCUGGAGCUCAACUCCAGAACUGCCUUUGAUACUGAGGAUCUUGAGUUCGGGAGAGGUGAGUGGAACUGCGAGUGUAGAGGUGAAAUUCGUAGAUAUUCGCAAGAACACCAGUGGCGAAGGCGGCUCACUGGCCCGAUACUGACGCUGAGGCACGAAAGUGUGGGGAUCAAACAGG